rnacentral:rRNA from 1 species
GACGAACGCUGGCGGCGUGCUUAACACAUGCAAGUCGAACGAAGAGCGAUGGAAGCUUGCUUCUAUCAAUCUUAGUGGCGACCGGGUGAGUAACGCGUAAUCAACCUGCCCUUCAGAGGGGGACAACAGUUGGAAACGACUGCUAAUACCGCAUACGAUCUAAUCUCGGCAUCGAGGAAAGAUGAAAGGUGGCCUCUAUUUAUAAGCUAUCACUGAAGGAGGGGAUUGCGUCUGAUUAGCUAGUUGGAGGGGUAACGGCCCACCAAGGCGAUGAUCAGUAGCCGGUCUGAGAGGAUGAACGGCCACAUUGGGACUGAGACACGGCCCAGACUCCUACGGGAGGCAGCAGUGGGGAAUCUUCCGCAAUGGACGAAAGUCUGACGGAGCAACGCCGCGUGGGUGAUGACGGCCUUCGGGUUGUAAAGCUCUGUUAAUCGGGACGAAAGGCCUUCUUGCGAACAGUUAGAAGGAUUGACGGUACCGGAAUAGAAAGCCACGGCUAACUACGUG